rnacentral:rRNA from 1 species
GAGAGUAAAACAGUACGUGAAAUUGUUGAAAGGGAAACGCUUGAAGUCAGUCGUGCCGGCGUUGGAUUCAGCUUGCUUCGCGGAGCAGGCGUAUUUCCGCGCAUGGCAGGUCAGCGUCAGUUUUGCGCGGCGUGAAAAGGCUCGGGUAAGGUAGCUCUCUUCGGGGAGUGUUAUAGACCUGGGCAGAUGCGCUGCGCGGGACUGAGGAUUGCAGCGGACACCUCUUCGGGGGCGCGGCGACCGAACCCUGCUCGGCCACCCUCGUUCGAUAGCGUGCUAGCGGACGCGGGAGCGGCGGUGCACCGGAACAGGCAAGCCAGCGGUUCGCUAAGGAUGCUGACGUAAUGGCUUUAAACGA